UGCCUCUAUCCCUCUCUGUCCUCAGAGGGUUGGUUCAUCCUCAGUGAGGUGAAAGAGGACAAAGUCUUGUCAGGUCUAGAUACAGCAUAGGACCAUGCAAAGAGUGGGCCGCUUCAGCCAAACGUCGAGCCUGUCAGUUUUACUAACUUCAUAUAAAUGGGAUUAUACUGGAUGUAUUCUCUGUGUCUUGUUUUUCACCCAACAUUAUAUUCUAUAUCCUUACUAGGAUGGGGAUUAUCAGGGAUCACUUUUAAUUAUUCAUUAAACUAUAUACAUAUGCUUUCUGCAUUUUCAGUAUCUGCACUAUACUUCACAAUAAAAGAAGAAUUCAGGGAACCCAAGACAAUUAGCAUUUGUUUUCAACUGACAACCUAGAAUGAGUGUUCUCUUUUAGUCUUAAAAAAAAAAGUGGUUGGGUGUAGUGGCUCACAUCUGUAAUCCCAGAACUUUGGGAGGUGGAGGCAGGAGGAUCACUUGAGACCAAGAAUUCAAGACUAGCCUGGACAACAUGGCAGAUCCUCAUCUCUACAAAAAAUAAAAAAUUAACUGGGCAAGGUAAUGCCUGUAGUCCCAGCAACUCGGGAGGCUGAGGCAGGAGGAUCACCUGGCAGCAGUAAGCCAAGAUCACGUCACUACACUCCAGAGUGACAGCCUGUCUCAAAAAAAAGAAAAAAGUGACUUGGAACCUGCAAGAUCUUCACAAAAGGUAAGAACCUUGGGGAAGUUUUUCACCUGGGAACUUUACCUGAAAGCUUGUCAUUUUUUCACCCCUUGGCGAGUAUUCAGUCAACAGAAGCAUUGCCCUCACUUUAUGGGUCACACAUCACAUGGGACUGUGUCUCUCCUACCAAGUGGUCUAAUCUGUCUGAGCUUUAGUUUCUUCAUAUGGAAAACGAUGAUGUCACUGGCAGCAUGGUGGGGGUUGUGGAGGAUGCCGACAUAAAUGAAGUAUGAGGACACGACUUACCAUACUCUACGAUUGGGUCUAAAAUCUGCACAUGUGGCAAGAAUGGAGACAAUGAUAUUCUCUGCCUCAUAGAGCUGCUGUGAAGAACACAUGAGGUAGGCUGGGCUCCGUGGCUCACACCUGUAAUCCCAGUGCUUUGAGAAGCCAAGACGAAAGGAUCGCUUGAACCCAGGAGUUUGAGACUGCAGUGAGCUAUGUAUGAUCAUGCCACUGCACUCCAGUCUGGGUGACGGAGUGAGACCCAGUCUCUGAAAAAAAAAAAGAAUAUGUGAGGUAAUAUAUGUAAUGUG
rnacentral:lncRNA from 1 species